rnacentral:rRNA from 1 species
CUCAGAUUGAACGCUGGCGGCAUGCUUUACACAUGCAAGUCGAACGGCAGCGGGGGCUUCGGCCUGCCGGCGAGUGGCGAACGGGUGAGUAAUGCAUCGGAACGUGCCCAUGUCGUGGGGGGAUAACGUAGCGAAAGCUACGCUAAUACCGCAUACGCCCUGAGGGGGAAAGCGGGGGAUUCUUCGGAACCUCGCGCGAUUGGAGCGGCCGAUGUCGGAUUAGCUAGUAGGUGAGGUAAAGGCUCACCUAGGCGACGAUCCGUAGCGGGGUCUGAGAGGAUGAUCCGCCACACUGGGACUGAGACACGGCCCAGACUCCUACGGGAGGCAGCAGUGGGGAAUUUUGGACAAUGGGCGCAAGCCUGAUCCAGCCAUGCCGCGUGAGUGAAGAAGGCCUUCGGGUUGUAAAGCUCUUUCGGCCGGGAAGAAAUCGUGGUCUCUAACAUAGGCCAUGGAUGACGGUACCGGACUAAGAAGCACCGGCUAACUACGUGCCA